rnacentral:tmRNA from 1 species
GGGGCUGUCAUGGUUUCGACAGGUUUAUGUUUGAUUUAAACGGCAGUGGAGUGGUACCCUAAGUACCAAAUAAAUAAACGGAAAUAACAGAUUAGCUUUUGCUGCUUAAUAGUCCGAAAUAGGAUUGCAGCCACCUAUUAAGUGUUUGUCAUUAGAUGCUUUAUAGUGUAUUUAUAAUGAAUAAGAUGAAUUUAUUGUUUGAGUAAAGGAUUCUGACAAUUUUUAUCAAACAAAUUCGAUUAUGGUUGGCUUACUUACAUGUAAUCGUCUUAAAUAAAAUGUAAGAUAAACUGUAGAUGUUUAAAUGUGGGACAAUUCUUGGACAGGGGUUCAAGUCCCCUCAGCUCCACCA